ACCAUAAAUUCGACCAUAAAUAUAAUCUAUGGUCGAAGUUUGUGUGUAGUGUGUACUGUGUAAUGUGUAUUGUGUGCGUGUUGUUAUGGUCCAUGCUCCAUGCGGAGUAGGGGCGAGAAUGUUGUUCAGUGGUAGUGUGUAAAUGGUAGUGUAGUGCAAGUUAUUUUGCGGUGGUAACAUAAUCACAGUUCCACAUUUAAUAUGGCUUCUGAUGACGUUGAUUAUAUGUCAGAUGACAUAUUGGUUCAAUGUGAACAACAGGACAUAAGACCGGGCUUAAUACAUAACCACAGUCAGAAAAGAUCACAUACAAUAUAUAAACAAAAAUUGGUGAAAGAUGCAGAAAAUAAGAAAAUAUUUCCAAGAAAAAGUGUGCUUGAGGAAGAAAGGAGGGACGAAGGACUAAAAGAAGCAAUUUCCAGUGACAAUAAGGGGUUUGCCCUUCUGCAGAAAAUGGGCUACAAACCAGGAUCAGCUAUUGGAAAAUCAGGUUCAGGAAUUGUGGAGCCUGUACCAAUAGCUGUGAAGACAAAUAGAGGAGGUCUUGGGAGGGAAGCAGCAUUGAAAGAAAUUAAAGAACAAAAACUGGCAAUUAAGGCAAGAUUAUUAAAACACAGGAAUCAAUUAAAUGAUAUAGAAAGUUACAGAAGUCAGAUGACAAGAAAAAUGGAAGAACGUCAGAAUGAAGCUGAUCUAAGGAAAAGUCAGAGAAUUUGUGAGCAGCUUGACAAAAGAAAGGACAUUGACAUUCCAGCAGAACCGUGGUUUUGGCCUGAUGGUUGGUCACAAGAGGAAGAAAAUGAGUCAGAUGAAGAGGAGGAGGAGGAAGAAGAAUGUGAUGGGGAUGAGGAGGAGGAGGAGGAGGAGAGCACUGAGGAAAUAACAUUUCAGACUCCAGAAAAACUGGAAAUAAUCACGUUGUAUCUAAGAAGAACAUAUCACUAUUGCAUCUGGUGUGGAACAGAAUUUGACGACGAAAAAGAUAUGCAGCAGAAUUGCCCUGGAAGCACAAGGGCAGAUCAUUAGUAAUCUUAUAGUUAUGAAUAAAUAAAUAAAUAAAAAGAAGCACUGGUCAACAUCAGUCGACAUAAGGACUUGGACGACGCUAAGUGGAGCAUGCCCGUCAAGGAUGCAGUGAUGGCGUAACCAGUGUCAUCACUCAGAAAAGCCGAAGCACAAACAAGCAGGGAGCUCAUUGCCUCAGACUGUGGAAGGGAGAGUGUCAGCAACACCUGAUUCAGCACUUUGAGAAAGUUCAGAGCAGGCACAAUGCUAUCCUCUGAACAGGGCUACGUGUAGUAACUACACUUAGGCAUGUCACAAGAAUGCAUUUCAGGCUGCAAACUUUGCAAAAAAAAAUGUUCUGACACUCUGAAACAACACAUUAGGCCAGCCAGGAAUGCUGACUGACUCAGAAAAUAGGAGCACAGUAAGGUGGCAUCAAGUCAUCGACUGCUAUAAAACCUUCUUCUUCCUUCCAUUCAAUCUGAGUCUUGCCACUCCAUUUGGAUCACUGAUACCAAUGUAUGGUCACCGCUACUAGUUACAGAAUGACUUGGUGAAGACAACAAAGUUUUGCUGCCCACCACCAGCUUGGAGUCAUUGCUACAAGUCUGCAGCUGUCUUGAUGUGGAGGGAACUUCAACUCUACAAGCUGCAUUCCUGCCAGUUACACCUGUGACUACCUGAAGAUGAGGGCAAUGCUAGUCUUCCAUGAAUGAAGAACCAAUGUGCUCACGAGCUGUUCAACUUGAGAGCAGAGUGCCUGUGCUGCCACUCACGGGCAAUACAAGUAUUGGGACCAACUUUCGAGCUGUCCUGUGUCUCUGUUGGGUCUUCCACCUACCCACCAUCACGACAACCAGCAACAGGUGCAUGGUGAUUUCUGGGGGCAAGCCUGAGUGCAACUACACUCAACGAGAGUGCUGAGGCUCUGACAGAUGUCCACAGCCACACCAGGCCGCAGAGACAUGCUGGCUGUCGCACCCUUGUGUGACAGGGCUGCGGCACAAACCUUGGACUACGCCAGGGCGCUACCCUGUGCCUCCGUGUAGUGUGGGUACAGCACACCCACUGCUAAGCCAAAUCGAGAAGAAGACAGAGUGAUUGUAUAACCUUUGGAAAUCGAUGACCAUUUAUUGAAUGAUGUCUUAUUAGUGCCCUGUCAAACUGCUGGACAACACCUCCACUCUACAAUCCUACACCCACGUAAGGAGGCUGCAUUUGGUGGACACCUACAUUAUUAGUGCCUCCAUCUCACUGCUGUCUAGAAAGGGAGCAGCCUCCUAUCCCACACUUGGAAUUUUUCCCCUCAAUCUCUAUGGUUAGUCUGUCUCCAAGCAUGCCUGCACUCUGUUCUCGGCUCGUCCACCUCAGCUAGCUGGCCCCACUUUGGCUGGCCAGCUGUGCAAUCAAGUACACUUGUCACUGUCUUGUUGAAAGUUCCUAAUCUUUCUUUUAAUCACCUAAAAUUUUUUGUCAUUGUCAUUGUUUCUUACCAUUAGCAAUGUAGGAGAAGAUAGAUUGCUACUUACUGUAAAGAAGACACAUUAAGUUGCAGACAGGCUCAAUUAAGACACUUGCACAAAGCUUUAGGCCACAACCUUCAUCAGCAAGAGAGGAAACACACACACACACACACACACACACACACACACACACACACACACACACACACAGUGCACUGUCAAGAGUUUGUGGGGCUGGGAGGUGGAGAGAAAAGGAGCAAAAAAAAGGCAAGCAAUGGGGUAAGAUGGGUGGACAUAUUGGUAGAGAACGGCAGGCAGAGGGUGGAAGACAAGAAUGGUAAGGAGGUGAUACAAUGUGGGUGGGGGAGGGGGAGGUAGACAGUGGGUCAUUGUAGGUUGAGGCCGGAGUAAUUACGUGAGCGGAGAAAGUGUUGUAAGGAUAACUCCCACUGCGCAGUUCAGAAAAGCUGGUGGUGGAGGGGAUGAUCCAGGUGGCUUGGGUAGUGGAGCAGCCAUUGAAGUCAAGCAUGUUAUGUUCUGCUGCGUGUUGUGCUACAGGGUGGACUAGUUUGCUUUUGGUUGGAGUUUGGCAGUGGACAUUCAUCCUAGUGGACAGCUGGUUGGUAGUCAUAACUAUAUAAAAAGCUGUGCAGUGAUUGCAGCAGAGCUGAUAGAUCACAUGACUGCUUUCACAAGUGGCCUGGCCUCUGAUGGAGUAUGAUAAACCUGUGACAAGACUGGAAUCGGAAGUGCUGAGUUUGUGGAUUGGGCAGGUCUUGCACCUGGAUCUUCGCAGGGAAAUGAUCCUUGUAGCAAGGGUUUGGGAUUGGGAAUGGUAUAGGAAUAUGCUUGGAUGUUGUGAAGGUUGAGUGAGUGACGGAACACCACUUUAGGAAGGGUGGAAAGUAUCUUGAGUAGUAUGUCCCUCGUUUCAGGGCAUGAUGAUAGGUAAUCAAAGCCCUGGCAAAGGAUUUGGUCCAAUUGUUCCAGUCUGGGGUGGUAUGAGUGGCAAAGGGGGCGCUCCCCCAGACCUAGUCCACAAACAAACCUGCUGCGCCAUUUCCCCUCACAACCUGAACCGUCCCACCACCCCCAAGAACCAGCCCCGAAGGAAUCCUAAAGUGGUGUUCCGUCGCCCACCCAACUUGCACAAUCUCCGGUUCCAUACCUGUGCCACUCCCAAUCCCAACCCCCUGCUACAAGGAUCAUAUCCCCAUGGAAGACCAACGUGCAAAAGCUGCCCAAUCCACCUGCCCAGCAUUUCUUAUUCCAAUCCUGUCACAAGUUUAUCCUACCACAUCAGAGGCUGGGCCACCGGUGAAAGGAGACAUAUGGUUUAUCAGCCCUGCUGCAAUCACUGCACCGGUUUUUAUAUUGUUAUGACUACCUGUUGGUAGUCAUAAUGCAGCUAUCACUUGGGGUGAAGCAGCCAUCUGGAAGGGUUGGGGAAGAAGAAGGGGAAGGGAUAGUAGUGUACAGCUGUCCACUAAGAUGAAUGGGCACUGCCAAACUCCAGUCAAGAACAAGCUAGUCCACUCUAUAGCACAACAAGAAGCUGAACAUCACACACCUGGAUCCUCCCAUUCACCACCAGCUCUUCUGAACUGCGCAGAUGGGAGCUAUCCUUACAACACAUUCUCUGCUCCUACUACCCUCAGACCCUCCACCCGACAGUUUCCACUCCCUCUGUCCUAUUGUCUCCUCCCCAUUUUUGUCACCCACCCUCUGUCAACACACCUGCACACCUUUCCCCACUCUUCUCCUUUUUCGUGAUUUCCCUAAAUCACUUCAGGCAAAUGCUGGGAUGGUUCCUUUGAAAGGGCACGGCCGAUUUCCUUCCCCAUCCUUCCCUCACCCGAGCUUGCGCUCCGUCUCUAAUGACCUCGUUGUCGACGGGAUUUAAACACUAAUCUUCUCCUCCUCCUCCUCCUCCUCCUCCUCCUCCUCCUUUUUCACUCCUACCUCCCUGCCUCAACCUCCUGACCCCGUGCCUGUUGGCAUUCUACUUCCUGCACACUCUGGCAGACAGCAUUUUUCUCUCCCCCCACCUAAACACUGCUGUCCCUUCCCCUUUCCAGUGCCCUCCAGAUUGCUGCUUCCAUCCCAAGUGAUUGUUGCAUACUGGCCCGAGCUGCCGAAUUUGGUGGUCAUGUGUGCUCAAAGUGUGCUUGCUUGAGCGUAUGAAUGGUGUGUGUGUUUCUCUUUUGCCGAUGAAAGCUGUGGCAAGAGCUUCGUGUAAGUGUCGUUUAAUUGUACUUGUCUGCAACUUAAAAUGACUUAUUUAUGGUAAGCAGCAAUCUGUCAUUUCCUACUUUGCUGAUAUUCCUACCUGGAGUUUCUAUUGUUUGAUUUCUUGCAAUCAGAAUAUGCAUUAGAUACAUUGUUACUUCCUAGCCUGAAGAAAAUUAAUUUAUCAUUUAUUGUUCAUGUCACAAUGGUUCACUGCGUUUUGUAGCAAAAAUGUCAAAGAAGUGAAUCUAUGUGAAGGAUACACACGAGAAUCAUUGGAGUUACUACUAUUUUUACUUAGUGAUCCUGAGGAUUCUGAAACAGAUAAUGAAUAUGUUUCAGACAUGUGGGCACUGAGUCAUGUUUAGUUCUACAUCAUGAUAAUAGCAGUCCAAAUAGUACCAGUGUUUGGAAUUGAGGUUUCUGGUGGAUACCACUGUUGUUGACUUGCUUCAUGUUCAUACAUAUGGAGAACCUGUUGCAGGCAGCAGAUUGACAAAAUAAAACACAGAGGAAGACUA